GGGGUCGUAGCCCAAUCGGCAGAGGCACUAGGUUUAGGUCCUAGGCAGUGUGAGUUCGAAUCUCAUCGACCCCACCA
rnacentral:tRNA from 1 species